rnacentral:rRNA from 1 species
GACGAACGCUGGCGGCGUGCUUAACACAUGCAAGUCGAACGGAAAGGCCCUGCUUGCAGGGUACUCGAGUGGCGAACGGGUGAGUAACACGUGGGUGAUCUGCCCUGCACUUCGGGAUAAGCUUGGGAAACUGGGUCUAAUACCGGAUAGGAGCCAUCUUUAGUGUGGUGGUUGGAAAGUUUUUUCGGUGUAGGAUGAGCUCGCGGCCUAUCAGCUUGUUGGUGGGGUAAUGGCCUACCAAGGCGGCGACGGGUAGCCGGCCUGAGAGGGUGCACGGCCACAUUGGGACUGAGAUACGGCCCAGACUCCUACGGGAGGCAGCAGUGGGGAAUAUUGCACAAUGGGCGCAAGCCUGAUGCAGCGACGCCGCGUGGGGGAUGAAGGCCUUCGGGUUGUAAACUCCUUUCGCUAGGGACGAAGCUUUUUUGUGACGGUACCCAGAUAAGAAGCACCGGCUAACUACGUG